rnacentral:rRNA from 1 species
AUUGAACGCUGGCGGCAGGCCUAACACAUGCAAGUCGAACGAGUGGCGGACGGGUGAGUAAUGUCUGGGAAACUGCCUGAUGGAGGGGGAUACCUACUGGAAACGGUAGCUAAUACCGCCUACCAUCACAUGAGCCCAGAUGGGAUUAGCUUGUUGGGGGGGUAAAGGCUCACCAAGGCGACGAUCCCUAGCUGGUCUGAGCGGCUGACAAGCCACACGGGAACGGAGACACGGUCCAGACUCCUCCGGGAGGCAGCAGUGGGGAAUAUUGCACAAUGGGCGCAAGCCUGAUGCAGCCAUGCCGCGUGUAUGAAGAAGGCCUUCGGGUUGUAAAGUACUUUCAGCGGGGAGGCGUUACCCGCAGAAGAAGCACCGGCUAACUCCGUGCCAGCAGCCGCGGUAAUAC